UUACAAUCCGCCCGUUCGGGUGUCCGCCGCGGCCAUGGGGCCGGUAGGAUGAAACGGGAAGCCGGUGCGCCGCGUCGCGGCAAGGCCGGCACUGCCCCCGCAACGGUAAGCACCAGGGGCCCUGCGCCCCGCCCGGCCGGCCUUCGCCACUGCUCACGGGAGCGGGAAGGCGCCCGCCGGGCCUGCGCCAAGCGCGGCAGGUGCGAGUCCGGAGACCGGCCCGAAAGCCCCCUGCCGC
rnacentral:ncRNA from 1 species